rnacentral:rRNA from 1 species
AUUGAACGCUGGCGGCAGGCCUAACACAUGCAAGUCGAACGGUAACAGGAAACAGCUUGCUGUUUCGCUGACGAGUGGCGGACGGGUGAGUAAUGUCUGGGAAACUGCCUGAUGGAGGGGGAUAACUACUGGAAACAGUAGCUAAUACCGCAUAACGUCGCAAGACCAAAGAGGGGGACCCUCGGGCCUCUUGCCAUCGGAUGUGCCCAGAUGGGAUUAGCUUGUUGGUGGGGUAACGGCUCACCAAGGCGACGAUCCCUAGCUGGUCUGAGAGGAUGACCAGCCACACUGGAACUGAGACACGGUCCAGACUCCUACGGGAGGCAGCAGUGGGGAAUAUUGCACAAUGGGCGCAAGCCUGAUGCAGCCAUGCCGCGUGUAUGAAGAAGGCCUUCGGGUUGUAAAGUACUUUCAGCGGGGAGGAAGGGAGUAAAGUUAAUACCUUUGCUCAUUGACGUUACCCGCAGAAGAAGCACCGGCUAACUCCGUG